CAGAAAAAUAUGGAGAGUUUUCGAAACUUUUCUUCCAAGCAUCAACUUCCUCAGGAUCUUCGUCCUUUGAACAUAGAAAGCAAACUGGACAAUGAACAUGUUUAGCGUCUACAGGAUCAAGAAGAGAUGGAUGCGCACAUCCAAUACGCAAGAAUCUUUCUUUAUUAGGAUAUGUAAUCAAUACUUUGGCACCCCAGCAAAAACCAUAAGCACCUAUUUUGACAUCUUGACCAUGUAUCCUUUCAAUGUCCUCUAUGACCUUUGUUAAUUUAGGCCAAUGUAGUGGAGAAGAAAUUUUCUCCAUAAAUUUACUACGUGCUUCUUUUUGCUCAAUCGUUUUUGGAUCUAUCAUUUCUAUAGAGGCUGUUUCACCAUUCAGAAAAUCAGGAAGAUAAAUAGCAAGCUCGUGAUUUGCCAACUGAUCAGCUCCUUCCUUUAUUUGUUUACUUAAUCCGAAAACAUCCAUAAAUCCAAUUAAAACAACUUUACUUGAGCGCUUACCAGUGAAGUAAGUCUGCAUCCCUCCAAUGUCUUUCAGCAUCUCGCCUUGGAGUUCGUAAUUACGGUUCGUAGGGGCCGCACCGCUUUUAGUUGGGCAGCAAGGCAUUUUUUUACUUCGAAUGUAGUAAAUAGAGUAGAAUUUACGUUGAAUUAGUGCUCAUUUUGAAAUUAUAUAAAGUAUAGUCGGUACAAACCCGAGGAACCGAGGGCUCCGUUUUCCGCGGAGUUGGCCAUAAACUAGAUAUCCAAAAGUUACUAAGGAAUAAAAGAUAUACAAAUGAAUUUAAUUUAGCCAACAUGCAAUCAGAAGAUUCUGUAUAUGAAUUUGCUUUGGUAAUUAAAGUACGUUUAUUACUAACUUGUGAAAUGCUUCCAAUUUAAAAGGGCUAUUAUUUAUAUAAUAUAAAGAAUCUGUAGCAUGACCAAUAUUUAUUUAUAUACUUAACAUCGAAGAAAA